UUGCACGCUGGCGGCAGGCCUAACACAUGCACGUCGAGCGGAUGAAGGGAGCUUGCUCCUGGAUUCAGCGGCGGACGGGUGAGUAAUGCCUAGGAAUCUGCCUGGUAGUGGGGGAUAACGUCCGGAAACGGGCGCUAAUACCGCAUACGUCCUGAGGGAGAAAGUGGGGGAUCUUCGGACCUCACGCUAUCAGAUGAGCCUAGGUCGGAUUAGCUAGUUGGUGGGGUAAAGGCCUACCAAGGCGACGAUCCGUAACUGGUCUGAGAGGAUGAUCAGUCACACUGGAACUGAGACACGGUCCAGACUCCUACGGGAGGCAGCAGUGGGGAAUAUUGGACAAUGGGCGAAAGCCUGAUCCAGCCAUGCCGCGUGUGUGAAGAAGGUCUUCGGAUUGUAAAGCACUUUAAGUUGGGAGGAAGGGCAGUAAGUUAAUACCUUGCUGUUUUGACGUUACCAACAGAAUAAGCACCGGCUAACUUCGUG
rnacentral:rRNA from 1 species